rnacentral:lncRNA from 1 species
AAAACCCUAGACACCAAAAAAAAUACCAAGACUGCCGCCACCUCCAUCUUCAACCCAAAAAUUCACCGGAAAACACCCCUUCAAGACCAGCCCCGUCGACCAGUCCCCUUUUCUCGUCGUCUUCGCCGGCGACCCCUUUUUAACUCACACUAACGACCAGCCCCGUCAACCUCCACGUGAACCAGCCGCCUCUCCCUCCUCACGUCCAAGCCACAACCAUCGUCGAAGCUCCAGUCAGCCCGCCACGUUCGACCAGCAACACGUACAGUCAACAACUGCCUCCCCGUCGUCGUCAAACGGACAAUCAUCUUCCUUCACCGCCCAGCUCACCAUCGAUCCUCCAGCCCCACUUCACGCCUGAACCAGUCGACGACAACCAGACCUCGACCAGCUGACGACCUUCAGCCCAAAACGAAAGACAAAUCGAGAACAAUAAAGAAAAUAAAAACAAGUAAAAGCUGGAAACAGUAAGAGUCCAAAGCUCAUUUCGAGCCCUUUUCCCGCGAGUUUUGAGUUUUCAAAUUAAGUUCGGAUAACUGUUUCUACCGGUUCUUUGUUGGAGUCAUUGUCCGAGGUCUCAUUCAGUCGU